UGAACGCUGGCGGUAUGCCUAACACAUGCAAGUCGAACGAGGUAGCAAUACCUAGUGGCGGACGGGUGAGGAAUACGUAGGGAUCUGCCUUUAAGUGGGGGAUAACCCGGGGAAACCCGGAUUAAUACCGCAUGAUCUCGCAAGAGCAAAGUGGGGGAUCGCAAGACCUCACGCUUUUAGAGGAACCUACGUCGGAUUAGCUUGUUGGUGAGGUAAUGGCUCACCAAGGCGACGACGGGUAGCCGGCCUGAGAGGGCGACCGGCCACACUGGGACUGAGAUACGGCCCAGACUCCUACGGGAGGCAGCAGUGGGGAAUAUUGCACAAUGGGCGGAAGCCUGAUGCAGCAACGCCGCGUGCGGGAUGACGGCCUUCGGGUUGUAAACCGCUUUCAGUAGGGACGAAGCUAACGUGACGGUACCUACAGAAGAAGGACCGGCUAACUACGUGCCAGCAGCCGCGGUGAUACGUAGGGUGCGAGCGUUGUCCGGAUUUAUUGGGCGUAAAGGGCUCGUAGGUGGUUGAUCGCGUCGGAAGUGUAAUCUUGGGGCUUAACCCUGAGCGUGCUUUCGAUACGGGUUGACUUGAGGAAGGUAGGGGAGAAUGGAAUUCCUGGUGGAGCGGUGGAAUGCGCAGAUAUCAGGAGGAACACCGAUGGCGAAGGCAGGUCUCUGGGCUGUUACUGACGCUGAGGAGCGAAAGCAUGGGGAGCGAACAGGAUUAGAUACCCUGGUAGUCCACGCCGUAAACGUUGGGCGCUAGAUGUAGGGACCUUUCCACGGUUUCUGUGUCGUAGCUAACGCAUUAAGCGCCCCGCCUGGGGAGUACGGCCGC
rnacentral:rRNA from 1 species